UUGCACAAUGGGGGGAACCCUGAUGCAGCGACGCCGCGUGGGCGAUGGAGUACUUCGGUCUGUAAAGCCCUAUCAGCAGGGAAGAAAAUGACGGUACCUGACUAAGAAGCCCCGGCUAAAUACGUGCCAGCAGACGCGGUAAUACGUAGGGGGCAAGCGUUAUCCGGAUUUACUGGGUGUAAAGGGAGCGUAGACGGCGAUGCAAGUCUGAAGUGAAAGGCGGGGGCCCAACCCCCGGACUGCUUUGGAAACUGUAUAGCUGGAGUGCAGGAGAGGUAAGUGGAAUUCCUAGUGUAGCGGUGAAAUGCGUAGAUAUUAGGAGGAACACCAGUGGCGAAGGCGGCUUACUGGACUGUAACUGACGUUGAGGCUCGAAAGCGUGGGGAGCAAACAGG
rnacentral:rRNA from 1 species